GCUGUUAUUUUCUUUUUUGAUGUUUCUCUUUGAUGUUCUUUUUUUCAUAUCAUCCUCUUUGUUGAUGUUCGUAGAUGGUCUGGGUGCGCCUCUUUCCUCCCAGAAGAGACCCGCCCAUAAUUUUGGUGAUGUUAGUGAGGGCCGAAAGGUGGAUGAUGUUUGUAUUUUUCUUUUCUUGAUGUUGUUCUUUUACUGCUGUUACUUUUCUUUUUCGAUGUUUUUCCUUUUCUUUUUCUCUUUUUCAUUCUUUCUUGAUGUUCUUUUCUGUAUCAUCCCUUGUUGAUGUUCUUUGGUUUGGAUGAGCCUUUUUCUCCCCAGAAGAGACUCACCCAUAAUUUUGGUGAUGUUAGUGUGGGCCGAAAGGUGGAUGAUGUUUCUUAUGUUUUUCUUUAUUGAUGUUUCUCUUUGAUGUUCUUUUAUCCAUAUCAUCCUCUCUGUCGAUGUUCUUCGAUGGUCUGGGUGCGCCUCUUUCCUCCCAGAAGAGACCCACCCAUAAUUUUGGUGAUGUUAGUGUGGGCCGAAAGGUGGAUGAUGUUUCUUUGUACUUUUCGUUUCUUGAUGUUGUUCUUUUAUUGCUGCUACUUUUCUUUUUCGAUGUUUUUUCUGUUCUUUUUUCUUUUCUAUGUUUUCUAGAUGUUCUUUUCUAUAUCAUCCUUUUGUUGAUGUUCUUUGGUCUGGAUGAGCCUUUUUCUCCCCAGAAAAGACUCACCCAUAAUUUUGUCGAUGUUAGUUAGGGCCGAAAAGUGGAUGAUGUGUGUUUUCUUUUUCUUUUCUCGAUGUUUCGUUUCUACACUUUCCUUUUUCUGGUGUUCUUUUUCAUUUUCAUUUUCUUUGGUGUUCCCAUCACGUGAACUGCCUACCACGGCUAACGAGCUCCACCUGCCCGGGUUUGUUGUUCGGAGUUUGCUCUCCUAGGUGAACUGCCUACCACGGCUAACGAGCUCCACCUGCCCGGGUUUGUUUAGAGUUUGCUCUCCUAGGUGAACUGCCUACCACGGCUAACGAGCUCCACCUGCCCGGGUUUGUUUAGAGUUUGCUCUCCUAGGUGAAUUGCCUACCACGGCUAACGAGCUCCACCUGCCCGGGUUUGUUUAGAGUUUGCUCUCCUAGGUGAAUUGCCUACCACGGCUAACGAGCUCCACCUGCCCGGGUUUGUUUAGAGUUUGCUCUCCUAGGUGAACUGCCUACCACGGCUAACGAGCUCCACCUGCCCGGGUUUGUUGUUCGGAGUUUGCUCUCCUAGGUGAACUGCCUACCACGGCUAACGACCUCCACCUGCCCGGGUUUGUUGUUCGGAGUUUGCUCUCCUAGGUGAACUGCCUACCACGGCUAACGACCUCCACCUGCCCGGGUUUGUUUAGAGUUUGCUCUCCUAGGUGAACUGCCUACCACGGCUAACGAGCUCCACCUGCCCGGGUUUGUUGUUCGGAGUUUGCUCUCCUAGGUGAAUUGCCUACCACGGCUAACGAGCUCCACCUGCCCGGGUUUGUUGUUCGGAGUUUGCUCUCCUAGGUGAAUUGCCUACCACGGCUAACGAGCUCCACCUGCCCGGGUUUGUUUAGAGUUUGCUCUCCUAGGUGAAUUGCCUACCACGGCUAACGACCUCCACCUGCCCGGGUUUGUUUAGAGUUUGC